rnacentral:rRNA from 1 species
GUGAAGGCCAGGCUGAAGACUUUGCCGGAUUAGCUGAGAGGUGGUGCAUGGCCGUCGUCAGUUCGUACUGUGAAGCAUCCUGUUAAGUCAGGCAACGAGCGAGACCCACGCCCACAGUUGCCAGCGUACUCUCUGGAGUGACGGGUACACUGUGGGACCGCCGCUGCUAAAGCGGAGGAAGGAAUGGGCAACGGUAGGUCAGUAUGCCCCGAAUAUCCCGGGCUACACGCGAGCUACAAUGGUUGGUACAAUGGGUAUCUACCCCGAAAGGGGACGGGAAUCUCCUAAAACCAAUCUUAGUUCGGAUUGAGGGCUGCAACUCGCCCUCAUGAAGCUGGAAUCCGUAGUAAUCGCGUUUCAACAGAACGCGGUGAAUACGUCCCUACUCCUU